CAAAAAUGAGAUAACGAUACUGAGUGAAUGCUCUCCACACAUAGUAUAUGCUCAUCAAGUACUUUCACUUCAAAUUAGCUAAAUCCCAGCCUCAACCCAUUCAGAAGAACCAGUACUUACAUAGAAACCUAUACAUAGUAGCCAGAAAGAAAUGCUCAUUUUAAAGAAAAACGUCAGACGUACUUAGAGGCUUUUGCAUCUGAAGUCUUUGUAUAUAUAUAUAAAAUGAUAAAACAAGAAUGUGUUAAAUGGUUAAAGUCUAAUAAGAGGCAGAAGAGCGUUUAUAUGAAACUACUCAUGCAUAAAGAGUGUGUGUACUAGGAGGGUCAAGCGCUGUUGUGGGAGGAUUCACACGCUAGCUUGAGAGUUUUUAAUGUGUAGUCGUACAGGAUUUCAUUGAACAACUGAAGAAAAUGGUUUGCGCAUUUGUUUUCUUCUGGCUGUGCUGGUGGCAUUUGACUGGUGUGUUUGGCGAGUCAUUAUCAGUGAUGGAGGGAGAUUCUGUGCUUCUACACAAUAAUGUAACUGCAAUACAUGAAGACGACGACAUACUGUGGAAAUUUGGAGCUGAAAACUCUCUGAUAGCUCAAAUCAGCAAAGAGAACCAAAUCUUCCCCGACAGGAGAUUCAGAGACAGACUGAAGCUGGACAGACAGACUGGAUCUCUGACCAUCACAAACAUCACAACUCAACAUGCUGGACGUUAUGAACUAGAGAUAAGUGGAAAAAAACUGUCAACAAAAACAUUCAGUGUUACUGUCUAUGGUGAGUAACAAAAUGGUUCAGUCUUUUCAAUAUUCUUGAUUAAGUAAAGGAAUAUAUCAGGUUCAAUAAAAGUUAAGCUUAUGCAGCUGCUUUUUCAGCCACUCAUCCCUUUAAAAAGAAAGAAAGAAAGGAAGAACGAACUAACGAACUUAGAUUUAUUCUAUAGUUAAAACUAGGGUAUUAUUUGAGCUGUAAAGAGUUAAAAUCAUUUUUACACCCGUUUUAGGGUAUCGUAUGUCUACGGCCAUUUAAGUAUUUUAUUUGAGUAUUUUAACAUUUACAGAUCGACUGCAUUUACUUAAAUUAUGAGAGUGUCUCUCUGUAUAUUUUUUGUAAUUAUUAUGCUGCAAAUGCUAUUAAUUUAGGAUAAAUUGUACUGCAGCCAGAAAAUAUGUUUAAUCAUUUUAUAGCUUCAUAUGACAGAAACACUCACCUUGUGUCAGCACACUACACCAAAAACAAGAUUGUUGUGUACAUGUAUCUAUAUGUUCUCUUAUUUUUCAGCCCAUCUGCCCAUUCUUAACAUUACCAGAGAUUUUUCAAAAAACUCAACAUCAUCAUCAUAUUGUUCAUUGUUGUGUUCAGUGGUGAAUGUGGGUCAUGUGACUCUCUCCUGGUACAAAGGACACAGUUUAUUGUCCAGCAUCAGUGUGUCUGAUCUCAGCAUCAGUCUCUCUCUACCUCUGGAGGUGGAAUAUCAGGAUAAAACACCUACAGCUGUGUGCUCAACAAUCCCAUCAGCAACCAGACCACACAUCUGGACAUCAGUCAACUCUGUCAGACACAUUUAGAUCAGGGCCUACCUUUAUUUUACAUAGUGCUGAUCUCUGCUGCCGGAUCGCUGUUGAUUGUAGCUGCAGUCAUGAUGUGCUGCAUCUGCAAGAAACGUAGAAAAACAGUCCAGAACCAGGAAGAAGACAGAACUCAUUCAGCAUUGUGCAAACCAACAACUCGAAAAACGAAAUCAAAGUCGGAUGCUGUGUAUGAAAAUGUCCCCAAAAAACGAUGAUCAAAUAGGUAUCUACCAGAAUGCAUGCUAGUGCUCACACAGGACCCUGACUCACACCUGUUUUUGUUCACAGUUCUCAGCCAGGAUGUUAUCCUUCUCUCUCAGUUUUAUUUUUGCUCUUUGUAUCACAUUUUUGGCUUCAUCUUUUCUUUUCUUUUUGCUGUUAUGUUUUUUUUUUUUUUUGCAUUUUUUUUUUGCAUUAGUUUAAUU